UUCCUUGAACCGCAUGGUUCAAGGAUGAAAGACGGUUUCGGCUGUCGACUUACAGAUGGACCCGCGGCGCAUUAGCUAGUUGGUGGGGUAAUGGCUCACCAAGGCUAGACGAUGCGUAGCCGACCUGUAGAGGGUGAUCGGCCACACUGGGACUGAGACACGGCCCAGACUCCUACGGGAGGCAGCAGUAGGGAAUCUUCCUGCAAUGGACGAAAGUCUGACGGAGCAACGCCGCGUGAGUGAUGAAGGUUUUCGCGAUCGUAAAGCUCUGUUGUUAGGGAAGAACAAGUGCGAGAGUAACUGCUCGCACCUUGACGGUACCUGACAACCAGAAAGCCACGGCUAACUACGUGCCAGCAGCCGCGGUAAUACGUAGGUGGCAAGCGUUGUCCGGAAUUAUUGGGCGUAAAGGGCUCGCAGGCGGUUUCUUAAGUCUGAUGUGAAAGCCCCCGGCUCAACCGGGGAGGGUCAGUUGGAAACUGGGAAACUUGAGUGCAGAAGAGGAGAGUGGAAUUCCACGUGUAGCGGUGAAAUGCGUAGAGAUGUGGAGGAACACCAGUGGCGAAGGCGACUCUCUGGUCUGUAACUGACGCU
rnacentral:rRNA from 1 species